rnacentral:rRNA from 1 species
AGUGGGGAAUAUUGCGCAAUGGGGGAAACCCUGACGCAGCGACGCCGCGUGUAGGAAGAAGGCCUUCGGGUCGUAAACUACUGUCAAGAGGGAAGAAACCGUUGGACAUUAAUACGGUCCAUCACUGGCGGUACCUCUAGAGGAAGCACCGGCUAACUCCGUGCCAGCAGCCGCGGUAAAACGGAGGGUGCGAGCGUUAAUCGGAAUCACUGGGCGUAAAGCGUGCGUAGGCGGCGUGUCAAGUCAGACGUGAAAGCCCUCGGCUCAACCGGGGAAUUGCGUUUGAAACUGAUAUGCUAGAGUCUCGGAGAGGUUGGCGGAAUUCCAGGUGUAGGAGUGAAAUCCGUAGAUAUCUGGAGGAACACCGGUGGCGAAGGCGGCCAACUGGACGAGUACUGACGCUGAGGUACGAAAGCGUGGGUAGCAAACAGGAUUAGAUACCCUGGUAGUCCACGCUGUAAACGAUGGAUAUUAGGUGUCGGGGUUUAACUUCGGUGCCGCAGUUAACGCGUUAAAUAUCCCGCCUGGGGAGUACGGUCGCAAGGCUG